rnacentral:rRNA from 1 species
UGAACGCUGGCGGGAUGCUUUACACAUGCAAGUCGAACGGCAGCACGGACUUCGGUCUGGUGGCGAGCGGCGAACGGGUGAGUAAUGUAUCGGAACGUGCCUAGUAGCGGGGGAUAACUACGCGAAAGCGGUGAAGCACAAUGCCGCCCUUCGGGGAAAGCGGGGGGACCUUCGGGCCUCGCACUAUUAGAGCGGCCGAUAUCGGAUUAGCUAGUUGGUGGGGUAACGGUCACCAUGGCGACGAUCCGUAGCUGGUUUGAGAGGACGACCAGCCACACUGGGACUGGAGACACGGCCCAGACUCCUACGGAGGCAGCAGUGGGGAAUUUUCCGACAAUGGGGGAAACCCUGAUCCAGCCAUCCUCCAUGUGUGCGAUGAAGACCUUCGGGUUAAAGCACUUUCUUUGGCAGGAAAGAAACGGCACGGGAUAAUACCCCGUGCAACUGACGGUACCUGCAGAAUAAGCACCGGCUAACUACGUGCCAGCAGCCGCGGUAAUACGUAGGGUGCAAGCGUUAAUCGGAAUUACCGCGUAAAAGCGUGCGCAGGCGGUUCGGAAAGAAAGAUGUGAAAUCCCAGAGCUUAACUUUGGAACUGCAUUUUUAACUACCGCCUAGAGUGUGUCAGAGGGAGGUGGAAUUCCGCGUAGCAGUGAAAUGGUGUAGAUAUGUGGAGGAACACCGAUGGCGAAGGCAGCCUCCUGGGAUAACACUGACGCUCAUGCACGAAAGCGUGGGAGCAAACAGGAUUAGAUACCCUGGUAGUCCACGCCCUAAACGAUGUCAACUAGCUGUUGGGGCCUUCGCCUGUAGCGCGCAGCUAACGCGUGAAGUUGACCGCCUGGGGAGUACGGUCGCAAGAUUAAAACUCAAAGGAAUUGACGGGGACCCGCACAAGCGGUGGAUGAUGUGGAUUAAUUCGAUGCACGCGAAAACCUUACUCAGCCCUUGACAUGUCUGGAAUCCCGAAGAGAUUUGGGAGUGCUCGCAAGAGAACCGAACACAGGUGCUGCAUGGCUGUCGUCAGCUCGUGUCGUGAGAUGCUGGGUUAAGUCCCGCAACGAGCGCAACCCUUGGUCAUUAGUUGCUACGAAAGGGCACUCUAAUGAGACUGCCGGUGACAAACCGGAGGAAGGUGGAUGACGUCAAGUCCUCAUGGCCCUUAUGGGUAGGGCUUCACACGUCAUACAAUGGUCGGGACAGAGGGUCGCCAACCAAGUAGUGGGGAGCCAAUCCCAGAAACCCGAUCGUAGUCCGGAUCGCAGUCUGCAACUCGACUGCGUGAAGUCGGAAUCGCUAGUAAUCGCGGAUCAGCAUGUCGCGGUGAAUACGUUCCCGGGUCUUGUACACACCGCCCGUCACACCAUGGGAGUGGGUUUUACCAGAAGUAGUUAGCCUAACCGUAAGGAGGGCGAUUACCACGGUAGGAUCUAAGACUGGGGUGAAGUCGUAACAAGGUAA